GAUUGCCCCAGUAACGGCGAGUGAAGCGGCAACAGCUCAAAUUUGAAAUCUGGCCCCCAGGGCCCGAGUUGUAAUUUGCAGAGGAUGCUUUUGGCGCGGUGCCUUCCGAGUUCCCUGGAACGGGACGCCAUAGAGGGUGAGAGCCCCGUCUGGUCGGACGCCUAGCCUGUGUAAAGCUCCUUCGACGAGUCGAGUAGUUUGGGAAUGCUGCUCUAAAUGGGAGGUAUAUGUCUUCUAAAGCUAAAUACCGGCCAGAGACCGAUAGCGCACAAGUAGAGUGAUCGAAAGAUGAAAAGCACUUUGAAAAGAGGGUUAAAUAGUACGUGAAAUUGUUGAAAGGGAAGCGCUUGUGACCAGACUUGGGCCCGGUGGAUCAUCCAGCGUUCUCGCUGGUGCACUCCGCCGGGUUCAGGCCAGCAUCAGUUCGCCGCGGGGGAAAAAGGCUUCGGGAACGUGGCUCCUACGGGAGUGUUAUAGCCCGUUGCAUAAUACCCUGGGGCGGACUGAGGUUCGCGCUCCGCAAGGAUGCUGGCGUAAUGGUCAUCAGCGACCCGUCUUGAAAC
rnacentral:rRNA from 1 species